UGGAGACAGAUGCAGGGAUGAUGAAGGAGGGAGGCAGAUCUCCAGCUAGUCCUGGCCCAUGUUAUUCAAGGAUCUAAAAGUCUACAGAAUGUAACUGGCUUGCCUCAUCUCUCAUCUCUAUUGGGGCCAUCAUUAUUAUCAUUCUCACCAUUAUUGCAUCACCAUCAUCACGAUCUUCAUCGCCAAAGGCUGAUUGGCAGCCUGCCAAACGGCCAUGAGCGGGCAGAAAAAAACUGAAUAAUUUGAGAAGGAAUGCUAUAGCAAUCAGCGCUGAACCUGAGCCCGGCUGUGCCACGCCCUUCACCAGCCGGGAGGAAGCAUGCGUUUAGGGUGAGGACGGGAAUUCACAGUCAACGUGACGAUAACGUUAAAAUAUGAGGGGAUGUUUUCGGCUGUUCGCCAGACAAGCGGCGAAACUGUCUCUCUUCAGCCGCGGAGCACGAUGCUAAUUCCACACACAGCAGCUCAGCGUUACCCCUGGCCUGGAGGAAGAAUAAUAACAUGCUAAUAUUUCCUCUGCUCGAACCGAGCACAGGUGUUGCCAACCUAGUUCCAAUCCAUCAGCCUUCCCAGCCCGACGGGCUUCAACUGCCCCCGGAGGGUUUUCGGAACAGAAAGCCUCUCCCGUGUAUUGGCUUGAAAAAUGCCAGUGGCUACAUUACGCGAAGGAUGGUGAUAAUGAUACCAAGCGCCUCUUUGAGUCGAGUGCUCGUUUUCUGUACCCGUGCUCGGCGAAUUGUCUUAAGACGUAUUAAAUAGUUAACGAUUGUAAUCAACAGACUAAAAAAGUUGGCCAUGGAAACGGCCGCCCCGCGACACGUAUCCGACACGGACCUGUCCGGCCUCGGGGACCUGAACGCGCGGGUGCUCUACACAGCGGCCCAAAUACGAGGAGCCCAACCGACCCACUCAGGUACCGCUCGUGACGUUCCGGACACCUCGGACCUGAAUGCCCCGAGGAGGGCCCGAAUCCGCAUCUCUUCGAGCGCCAGGUGACUCGCGAGCCACGCACCUGACCCUGCGGUGUGAGGAGACGCAGACCACCGUCUGGACCAACGGCGGCCCCGACGUGUCCUCUGCUGAACCUUCUCCGCGAGGGCCGUGGGACAAAAACAAACACUCCCCAAAGUUUUUCGGUGAAAAUGUGUGAUUCACGCUGAGCGAAAGCAGCAGAUAC